rnacentral:rRNA from 1 species
AGAGUUUGAUCAUGGCUCAGGACGAACGCUGGCGGCACGCUUAACACAUGCAAGUCGAACGAGAGAAGAGGAGCUUGCUUUUCUGAUCUAGUGGCGGACGGGUGAGUAACACGUGAGCAAUCUGCCUUUCAGAGGGGGAUGCCGAUUGGAAACGAUCGUUAAUACCGCAUAACAUAAUUGAACCGCAUGAUUUGAUUAUCAAAGAUUUAUCGCUGAAAGAUGAGCUCGCGUCUGAUUAGCUAGUUGGUAAGGUAACGGCUUACCAAGGCGACGAUCAGCAGCCGGACUGAGAGGUUGAUCGGCCACAUUGGGACUGAGACACGGCCCAGACUCCUACGGGAGGCAGCAGUGGGGAAUAUUGCACAAUGGAGGAAACUCUGAUGCAGCGAUGCCGCGUGAGGGAAGAAGGUUUUAGGAUUGUAAACCUCUGUCUUCAGGGACGAAAAAAGACGGUACCUGAGGAGGAAGCUCCGGCUAACUACGUGCCAGCGGCCGCGGUAAUACGUAGGGAGCGAGCGUUGUCCGGAAUUACUGGGUGUAAAGGGAGCGUAGGCGGGAUCGCAAGUCAGAUGUGAAAACUAUGGGCUUAACCCAUAAACUGCAUUUGAAACUGUGGUUCUUGAGUGAAGUAGAGGUAAGCGGAAUUCCUAGUGUAGCGGUGAAAUGCGUAGAUAUUAGGAGGAACAUCAGUGGCGAAGGCGGCUUACUGGGCUUUAACUGACGCUGAGGCUCGAAAGCGUGGGGAGCAAACAGGAUUAGAUACCCUGGUAGUCCACGCCGUAAACGAUGAUUACUAGGUGUGGGGGGACUGACCCCUUCCGUGCCGCAGCAAACGCAAUAAGUAAUCCACCUGGGGAGUACGACCGCAAGGUUGAAACUCAAAGGAAUUGACGGGGGCCCGCACAAGCAGUGGAGUAUGUGGAUUAAUUCGAAGCAACGCGAAGAACCUUACCAGGUCUUGACAUCGUAUGCAUAGCUCAGAGAUGAGUGAAAUCUCUUCGGAGACAUAUAGACAGGUGGUGCAUGGUUGUCGUCAGCUCGUGUCGUGAGAUGUUGGGUUAAGUCCCGCAACGAGCGCAACCCUUACUGUUAGUUGCUACGCAAGAGCACUCUAGCAGGACUGCCGUUGACAAAACGGAGGAAGGUGGGGAUGACGUCAAAUCAUCAUGCCCCUUAUGACCUGGGCCUCACACGUACUACAAUGGCUGUCAACAGAGGGAAGCAAAGCCGCGAGGUGGAGCGAACCCCUAAAAGCAGUCUUAGUUCGGAUUGUAGGCUGCAACCCGCCUACAUGAAGUCGGAAUUGCUGGUAAUCGCAGAUCAGCAUGCUGCGGUGAAUACGUUCCCGGGCCUUGUACACACCGCCCGUCACGCCAUGGGAGUCGGUAACACCCGAAGCCUGUAGUCUAACCGCAAGGAGGACGCAGUCGAAGGUGGGAUUGAUGACUGGGGUGAAGUCGUAACAAGGUA